rnacentral:rRNA from 1 species
AGACCCGAAACCCGGUGAUCUAGCCAUGGGCAGGUUGAAGGUUGGGUAACACUAACUGGAGGACCGAACCGACUAAUGUUGAAAAAUUAGCGGAUGACCUGUGGCUGGGGGUGAAAGGCCAAUCAAACCGGGAGAUAGCUGGUUCUCCCCGAAAGCUAUUUAGGUAGCGCCUCGUGAAUUCAUCUCCGGGGGUAGAGCACUGUUUCGGCUAGGGGGCCAUCCCGGCUUACCAACCCGAUGCAAACUGCGAAUACCGGAGAAUGUUAUCACGGGAGACACACGGCGGGUGCUAACGUCCGUCGUGAAGAGGGAAACAACCCAGACCGCCAGCUAAGGUCCCAAAGUCAUGGUUAAGUGGGAAACGAUGUGGGAAGGCCCAGACAGCCAGGAUGUUGGCUUAGAAGCAGCCAUCAUUUAAAGAAAGCGUAAUAGCUCACUGGUCGAGUCGGCCUGCGCGGAAGAUGUAACGGGGCUAAACCAUGCACCGAAGCUGCGGCAGCGAACGUAUCACUUAAAGCGAUUCAGCGGGUUACGAUUGACGGAGCGAAGCGACGUCAAAGCGUAUACAAAGUCGAGUCGGUUUAAGGAUACGUUCGUUGGGUAGGGGAGCGUUCUGUAAGCCUGUGAAGGUGUGUCGUGAGGCAUGCUGGAGGUAUCAGAAGUGCGAAUGCUGACAUAAGUAACGAUAAAGCGGGUGAAAAGCCCGCUCGCCGGAAGACCAAGGGUUCCUGUCCAACGUUAAUCGGGGCAGGGUGAGUCGACCCCUAAGGCG